rnacentral:tRNA from 1 species
AGAGUAUAGCUCAGAGGUAGAGCACAUGCUUGGCAUGCACGAGGUCCUAGGUUCAAUCCCCAGUACCUCUA